UGACUCACAAUUGAAACAAGAUGAAGAGAUGGACAUUUUAGCAAAACUAAGUGAAAACCUUGUAAAAUUUUCAGAUUAUGUUUCUACAUUUAAACAUCUACUGGGGGAGGCAGAGGCCAAUUCUAUGCAGUCAAACCUGGAAUUGCUGACACAGGUUAAGAGUAUGCACCACAGGUAUCGAAACCUAAAAUGCCCUGAACUCUUUUCAUAUAGAUUAAUAAAAUAUGGUUUUAGUCUUCCUUCUCUAUAUUCUGGCUUAGACAGAACUAUCAAGCCAUUUCAAGUAGAUUUAAUUCUAGAUCUUCUGUCCUUGAUUUUAGAUCUUGACACAGCACAUCCUCAACUUAUUGUCUCCGAGGAUAGAAAAGCUGUGUGAUGGAAGAACAAAACCAAACAUAUGUUAUAACCCAAGGAGAUUUUAUUUCUGCCCUGCUUUCCUGGGCUCUCAGAAGUGUAGUUCUGACAGACAUUACUGGAAGGUAGAGGUGGGAAACAAGCCUAAAUGAAAAUUAGGUGUGUGUCAAGAUUGUCUUCUUAGGACCUGGCAGGAUCAGCCUUCAGUUCUGGGUUGAUUUGGGGGCAAUUGGAUGAUAUAUAGAGUGGUUAUGCUGCAUCAGGUCCUAAGAAAACCCACCUUCUGCCAGUAGUAAAAUCCAGUAAGAUUGGUAUUCUUUUGGACUAUGAAUUGGGUGAUUUUUUAAAGUAAUAUAAAUAAUAGGUUUGUUCUGUAUAUUUUAAUGAUCUUUCACAAGAGCUGUUUGGCCUUAUUUCUAUGCUGAAGCAGAUUCUGAACGUCUUAAAAUCUGUUCAUUAUCAGAUGCUGAAAGA
rnacentral:lncRNA from 10 species